rnacentral:lncRNA from 1 species
GGCAGGGUAAUCAAAUCUCCCCCGAAAUGAAAAGAUAAAUAAAUGGUUAGGAAGGAUUUAGUUAGUUAAUCAAAUCACCUUCACCAAAAAUGUCAAAGACACAUGAAGUUGGAUUAAUGACUGCAGUGUCUGCAGGAGGACAGGAUAGUACAGCUAAUUGUGUUGACAGAAUAUCCAAUUUGCCUGUCGAAAAUCGAAAUUAUCCGUCAUAUUCACUUCCUCCUUCCCAUCAGAGAUGCACAGAGAACCUGUGUUUUAUCCCAGAGAUGGCGAACCAUUUGGGCUUCUCGCCCUGAAAUUUAUUUUGACGAAGCGGAAUUAUGGGUCAAGUUUUGGACAUACAAUGAAGGAGAUACAGCAAGAAGAGAUGCCUUCUUAGCUUACAUGAAAAAUUCCUUGGACCACCGUGAGAAGUCUGAAUAUGGUGCUGAAGUUAACUCACUCUUUCUUCGUAUGACAGUUGAGAAUUCUUA